AUGCAGCCCGGCUGUCCUCCUCGUCCCUGCUCCAUUCUGAGAGGACAGGGAUGCCUGACUCAGCCUCAGCGGCCAGGGAAGAAGCUGGGGGGUACUGGGUCCCCCAUCUCUUCCCCAAGGAGAGAGAAGAGAGCUGUGCCCUUCAGUUUGCCCAGGGGCUUUCAGGGGCCAGGUGGCUCAGUAAGUGUUGCUGGGACCUCGAAUUCAGGUGCCCUGAGGGGGCGGGGGAGGAGCUGCCCACUCCCAGAAAAGGAGGCGGGACCUGGAUCUGGAACGGGGGGAGGAGAAAUUGGUCACGUCCACCUCCGCGGGGACUUCGCUGUCCGCUGGGGUGCCCUGCCUUGUGCCAGGUGGCUGGCGGUCCGCAGGGACUGCGGCGGGCAGUGGGGGGAGGUGCUGGCGGCUGGACUGGGGAUGACGGAGCAGCCGGUCUGUCCCGGCUGUCCGUCUGGUUGUGCGCGUUGGGGGAGGGGUGUGCGGCGUGUUCUCUCUGGCCCUGGAUGUUUUCCUCUCGGCAUCUCCUCUCUGCUCUUCUGCUCCCAGGCGGUUAACCCUUCCUGAUGGGGCUGGAGGUGCCUGGCGCAAGGAGGGGGCGGCCUUGGAGACUGGUGAGAGCCGUUCCUCUUUCCAGAUCCAGUGUCAGAUCCUGUUCAGUGGGGGACAUGCCAGGGAGAAGGAAGGUGACAGCCCCCUCCACCCCCGACGUUGGCGUGACUGCCCAGCGGCAUGGGGUGGGGGCGGCACUCGCUCGGAAAAGGCUGGAGGAGCUGAGGGAAGGAGGAAGGGGUGGAGCCUUUUCAGGUGUGGAAGAGCUCAGGACUGGGGAGGAAGUCCCUAGAAGUACCCUAGGGAAGGCGGGAGAGGCCAAGAGGUGGCCUCGAGGGUCGGGGGGUGGGUUUGCCCAGCCUCCUCUGGCUGGCUUGUUGACCAGCUGAAACAACCGACAAGGGGGAGGGGACAGGGACAGUCCUGGGACUGGCAGAGGAGGAACACCAAGUGCCUUCAGCCUCCUGGGGACAGGGACACAGGCACAUCCCCCCCCCCCCCACGGGGCAAGCUCUGAUGGUGGAGCUGCUUCAGCUGCAGGACAGACUGGGCAGCUGGGGUGGGUUCGCAAGGCCCCCCUCCCUCAGCCCGUCUCCUCUCCAGUCUGGAUUCCCUCUUUCCCCUCUCACCAGGGCCCCAAAUGAGACAACUGCUGUCUCCUGACCCUAGGACCACUUGAUCUUCACCCCAUGCCAGGAGAAAGUCCAGUCCUCCGGCCCCACCCUGCCUGGGCUGAGCGUGGCCCUCCUGCUGCCUGUCUUUCCUCCCCUUGCCCAGGUUUGCUUCUCUUGCGACCCUCUCUGCCCCAGUCCCUGCCCAUUAGCCAGCACACAGCAGCUGCCAAGGUCAGCCCUGUCCCCUCCUGUGCCGUUGGCCUGUGGCCUGGCUCGGAUCUAGUGGGCACCAGUGCUGUUCUGUGAACUGCAGUCUGCCUGAGCGACGGGGCCAGGGUCGGGUUCAGCAGCCCCCGGGACAGACUGAGUCAGGGAGAGGGAGAGCCAGGGAGUAUGGCUGC
ensembl:lncRNA